rnacentral:rRNA from 1 species
GACGAACGCUGGCGGCGUGCCUAAUACAUGCAAGUUGAGCGAUGAAGAUUGGUGCUUGCACCAAUUUGAAGAGCAGCGAACGGGUGAGUAACGCGUGGGGAAUCUGCCUUUGAGCGGGGGACAACAUUUGGAAACGAAUGCUAAUACCGCAUAAUAACUUUAAACAUAAGUUUUAAGUUUGAAAGAUGCAAUUGCAUCACUCAAAGAUGAUCCCGCGUUGUAUUAGCUAGUUGGUGAGGUAAAGGCUCACCAAGGCGAUGAUACAUAGCCGACCUGAGAGGGUGAUCGGCCACAUUGGGACUGAGACACGGCCCAAACUCCUACGGGAGGCAGCAGUAGGGAAUCUUCGGCAAUGGACGAAAGUCUGACCGAGCAACGCCGCGUGAGUGAAGAAGGUCUUCGGAUCGUAAAACUCGGUUGGUAGAGAAGAACGUUGGUGAGAGUGGAAAGCUCAUCAAGUGACGGUAACUACCCAGAAAGGGACGGCUAACUACGUG